rnacentral:lncRNA from 1 species
GCUAGGUUUGUUGUUUUAUUUGGGUUUUGUUGGGGGAUUUUGUUGGUUUUCUGUGCCGACUUAUUCUCUAAAAUAGGGACCAAGAGCUGAGUAACAGCUUACAUAUCUUUUCCUGGAAGCACUUUGUUAAGGUAAAACCUGCCUCCUGUAGUAUACAAGGGUAAGUGUAUCUUCCAAAAAUAAAAAAAAAAAAAAAAAAAAAAAAAAAGAACUCAGGCGAAUAUACAAAACUACUUAACGGUCAUCAAGAUGUGGAAUGUCAUGCUAGCCUCCUCUUUCCAUGAUCCAGCCAGGUACUUCACCCACAAAGGCAAUUACUACACAAUUCCUAUGACCUAAAUCACGUAUGCAUCUUCUUGUGCUUCCUCGCCAUUGAAUCAUACUGCAAGUAACCCUCUGGGUCAGGAUUCUCUCAUCAGAAGUCUGUGCACUAAGUAUAGCCUGAGGUUUCUGCAAAUAUUGCAUGUAUGUACGAUUUCAUGUGCCUAAACAUUGAUAAAAUAAAAGCAGCACUCACUAACAGGAACGUUUGUAAUGGCAACAAGGUGUAAUGUCACCAGGAGGGGACCGUGUUAAAUCAGCUGUACAGAAAAUUCAGAAAACUAUCCUAGGACAAAUUAAAAAUAGAAGUAACAUUGCAAAGCACGGGAAGAUGUGUAUAACCUUCUUAUAAAUAUGCCCAUCUUAAGCACUUUUCAAGUACGGAAAGAAAAGCCUAAUUAUAAAUUAUUCUUAUCCAUUUAUUAAGGCUGCUCCCUGAAGGGCUAAUUCUAGGUGAUGCCUCAUUAACCUUGUAUCAGCUACUUGUUCUUUAAUUUUUUAAAAAAAAUGAUUUUCCCAUAAUUUUCAUUAAUUCAGUCAGGCCCUACUCAUUUGUACAAAUUAGUAAGGUGAAAGGGAGAGUGAGAAAGAGAGAGAGAGAGAGAGAGAGAGAGAGUUAGUUCUGUGGGUUGAGGGUUCUAGGCAUUUCCCCUUACAUUCGCUAGCUCUGUUCUUUGCAUGAAUUGCCAUCUAUGGAGCCCCCAGCACCCAGUGGAUUUCUAGUUCAAACGCAUUGGUAUUUAAGCAUGAGCUACACUGUGAAAGGUCACCUCUAAUUCUAUUACUGUAUUAGUGAGCACAGAUACCGAACCAAAUGUUACGUAGUUUUAUAGAACAGUUUGUAUGAGCCCAUUGCAUGUGUGAUAUGUUACAUUUCGCUACAUUUUACAAGCUAGCAAUCAUAAGGGGCACUUUUUUAUUAUGAAACUAAUAGUAAUUUGGGAAAAAAAUCCUUCUGUCCAUCUUAGGAUAUAGCAUCCUAGCUUUUGAGAUGGUAAAGUCUGGAAAAGUGUACCCAUGUGAAGGAAAUACAGAAAUUGUAGGUACCAGCAAUGUAGUAAAGAACAGAUCACUGUAAAGGAAGAUACAAGGAUUCAAAUAAUUGAGAUAGUCACUCAAAGUUGUUUGCAUAACUAGGGGUGGUGUGGGAAUGCCUAAAGGCUCAACGGUUUUGUACAAGUACUAACAAAUGAACACAAAGUCCUUAAGGAGAAGCUGAUGCCCUGCAGAAACCAGAGUUGGGGAAUAUGGCUUACCUCAUCUUUUUUUCUUACCACAGCUCCUCUUUCUUGUAGCAGAUGAGGUGUCCCUGCCUAGCCCCACCAACUUCUGUGGAAGCAGACAUGGUGCUGACACGGUGGUCUUGGCUUCUGGAGAUUGUAUCACUUUCUCCUGUUACGGAUGGAGUCCCGCACUCCGGCCACCAGCUAGCAAUUUACCCGCACUCCCGUUUACCAGUUAGAAGUCUGUGCACGGGUAGUGUGUAAACCUAUCUCUAUUCCUUCAUCCUGAUUAGGAGAGUCCAGAGGAGUUUUCCAGGUCAAGGUGAGGACAUGAGACAACUAAGUCUGCAUCUCAUUUACCUUAGAGUGUUCUGGAUUUUUUUCCUGGAAACCGCCUUAAUUGGUAAUUCUAAGAAUCACCAUCUCAAGCCUGUUUUUUGAGGGGGCUGCAUUUAAGAUACUCAUUUCAUCAAUUUUUCUAUUCUUGUUUUACUGGUAAACACCAGGCGCUCUCUCCAGGAACUCACCUACCUGGGAGGACAGAUGCCUCAACAUGGACUACAGAUUCCAAAGUCUGUUCACAGUUUCUACUUCUGUGUCCAACUUUUCUUCCUCCAGUAAACACACAUGGUCAAAGCAGAAUGCAAUGUCCUUUCCUCAGGAUCCACAAGAGUCAGAUUAAAGAAAAUGGUUUUGUUGAAAUAAACAGCUCCUUGCACGGCUCAGUGACUGAAAACAAAACAUCAGAAAUCAAAAGGUGCACCUUCAAGAUAAUUUCUGUUAAUAUUUGUUUAUGCAGUAUGCAGGGUUCUGCAUGAAUAUAUGCCUACAUGCCAGAAGAGGGCACCAGAUUUCAUUAUCGAUGGUUUAUGGGCCACCAUGUGGUUGCUGGGAAUUGAACUAAGGACCGCCAGUGCUCUUAACCUCUGAACCAUCUCUCCAGCCCAGCUUCAAAACUCUGGACUAUGAUAAAUAAUCAGAAAGGCAUUGUUAUAAAUGUGUUCUAAGCCACACACACACACAAACAGAAAGUCUUUACUUGUAUGUGAUGUCAAACAUAGGAAGAACCAUCUUUAUUCAAGGCUUAUUUUCUGAGCCUGACAUAGAGUGCGGAUGCUUCUUCAGUGAUGAAUCAAAUCCUGGUCCUUCAUGCUGGUAUUUAAAUCAAUGUGCAGGCGACAUGUGUAGUCAAGUGCAGUGCUAGUCACAGAGCAUGGGCGUUGUUGUCAAUGGAACAGACAGCUGAAAGACAAUGUCACCUUAUACUCUUACUGCCUUUUACCAGAAAAGUAGAGCAGGCAGCUAAGGAUGAAAUUCCGAGAGCUUUGCAAGGCUAGGGUGGUCUUGGGGGCAAAAGAGGAUGUUUGGUUAUCACUUGUGCCGAAGUAUCUGCCACGGUGUCUUCCAUUCAGUGUUUGUAAGAUAUCUACUUUGUACCAAAGCACUAAUCUAGACAGUAGUGAUGUGAGAAAAAAGUACAUACUGUAGUGAGAAAUCAGAAGGAAAAACAAACUCCUGGAGC